rnacentral:tRNA from 1 species
GGAUUGUGGCUCAAUGGUAGAGCGCUCACCUGGCAUGUGCUAGGCCCUGAGUUCGAUCCUCUGCACCA